rnacentral:misc_RNA from 1 species
UGUGGGAGCGGGCUUGCUCGCGAAUGCGGUAGGUCAGUCAGCUCAUGCGUAACUGACCCACCCCAUUCGCGAGCAAGCCCGCUCCCACA